rnacentral:lncRNA from 1 species
CUGCCAGGACGAAGUCCACCCAUUGGAUAGUGGUUCCAUCCUCGACGGAGAUCAGAUCAGACACCUGGGGUGCUACUUUCUGGACUUGCUUCACAAGAUCGUCGACGGCUUCUAAGAAUGGUGCAGGGUCUGCCAUGACCGUCUGCUAAUCACAGCCGGUGCCUGCCAUGCACAAGGCAAUUGAGUAUAUUUUCAUCGUGAAUUACUUCAUCAUUUGAUUUGUUCGAGUCGAAGAAGAAGAUCCGGCAGUGCCACGUUCCGCUGGGUUACUCGAGUUGCCCAUCAGCCCCAGCUUGCACAAAAAUCUAUCAAACAAACCAAGACAGCUUCAUUAUGGGAGUUCCCCAUCAACCAAAAGCACUAUUAAUGAUGCACUUUUGCAGGAGAGCUCUGCUUUUCUCCAUCAAUGCUUGUACGACACAACAUCGCGUCCACGCCCAGAUCCCCACACAGAGACACAGGGGAUUCCAGGGGGUUACUGGAACAAAAUUACAAGAUUCAACGUCAAAACUGUUGGAUGGUGCUCAGAUUCUUCAGUUGGCUGGAUCAUCUUACCUGACGCCACCCCACAGCGACGUAUCGGAACUAUGCCAGAUCAAGUAAGUCGGCUCGUCCCAAAUCGAGAGCGACAGAAGCGCUUCCCAAGGUAGUAUUGACUUCUACAAUUUUAUGAAAGACAAGCGAUAUCCGGCAAAGAUAUGCUGCAAAUUCUUUCUAGCCAACGUUCUUCUC